UUUGGUUUUCCUGUUUUGUAGUCAUAAUAAUCAAAUAGGGUUUGCUCCUCCCUAUAUAUAAAGCGACUUACCUAACAACAAUAAAUCAGUUCAGUUUCCUACUAACUCACGUUCAAUAUUUUCAAAAUUAAAUUAAAUUUAAAAUGUUCAAACUUCUCCUUUUGUUGUUCAUCUGUUUCGUAGCUUUGUGCUCAUCAACGUACAUAACUCCACAAAUGAAAUAUUCCUGUCCAGAAGGGUAUAGGCAGUACUUUGCUUUGUGUGUGCCUGAUAAAAUGUGGGACGAACUAAUGCAAUGAGGCUGCAACAGUAAAAAACAAUAAUUAUUAAAAAGUAAUCUACGACUGGUCCGCAACGCAUUUGCGAUGCCUCUGGUAUCGCAAGUGUACUGAGGCUACGAUGUUCACUUACCAUCAAGCGGACUGUAAGCUACGUUGGAACCAAAAUAUUUUUUUAAUCAUCACCAUCGACUCGACUACUGUUGAACAAAAGCCUCUCCAAUAUCCCACCACUGAACUUGAUCUUCUACUCUUCGCAUGCAACGGAUAUCAUCACUCCAACUAGCUGGCUUCAAUACACGUUUAUCCCAACGAUCAUGAUUGUGCAAUAGUGUGUUUUUCACUUUAGCAACAAUCAAUUUGGUUAGUGUUUAUUCUUAAACGGUUUUAUUUAGCUCGCCCCGUUUGAUGUUUGGUUUACACAAAAAGGCUGUAAGCGCACGGUUCACGCACUGACAGCGCGCUUACAGCAUUUUCCCGCGGCCGUGCCGUUAUUGUCUGCAAUGACCCUUAAUCUUGAUGACCAAACUAUGUUUCUUUUUCCACAAAUACGAUAUCAAACUUAGGGGCUUGGUAGGUAGAAUAUAGCUUUUUAAAACCGUUUAACUUAAAAAAUGAUUUUAUGUAUUACUUGUUUUAAAACAAAUAAGACGUAAUGUAAUGUUUAACAUGGCUAAUAAGUUAGACUAAGUUAUUGUAUGUAGUUUAAAUACCAGUAAUUACUACUUUUAACUUUAAAAUAUACUAAAAUGUACCUAUGUAAUACUCUGCAAAAGAAACGCUUUAUAAAUAAAUUUUAAUAUUUAUUAAA